UGACAGUGGCUGUUUGAACCUGACAGGAGUCCGCUGGGGUGCUUCAGUGUAGUUGUUCAUAUAGAACUGAGAAAAGCUGGACCAUCAGCCCUUAAAGAGGAUGCCAGGGACAGCACUGGAGAAUUCCCCGGCUCCCGCAGUGAUUUUCCUAAGCGACAUGUUAGAGCAAUUCACUUCACCACUUAAAACUCUGACCGCCUCCAGGACAGUCCUGGCGCCUUCAACAGCAAACGCUGCCUUGAUGGGGCCCUGGGGCUUCUCUCUGGCAGCGGGCAGUGUCUCUCCUCCUGUCCAGCCUCUGCAGCCCUACUGCACACGGGACUUGCUUGUCUCCGUCCUCCCCCAUCUCUGGGCCUGGACCACCCUUCCGCCAUAGCUGAGCUCCAACUGACCAUGCUGACUCAAACCAGUUGAAACAACCAGGAACUGCAUUAUCUUGCUUGGUGGGGAGGCCAGAUGGGCCCCAGGCUCUAGAUAAUCCACAGCUCAAAAAUGCGGAGGAGCCACUCUUCAUCUCUGCCGCCGUGGUGACAGAUUCACUCUGAAGUUGGGUCCUCCCUGGGCUUGAGGGGCGUGGUGGCCGAGCCGAACUUCACAUCCUACACAACAACAUCCCAUCCCACAUGGCAACCCUCUGUUGGGCGUGUGGAAACUUUUCUCAGAGCUCUAGGGGACCUCGUCCUCAGGUGGGCCAUGAGGGGUCAUCCCUGCUGCUAAACCAUCUGCAACAGCAGACCUGACAUUAAAGUUGGUGUAAGGAGUACUGGGGCUCAACCCUGGAGACUAUAGUGGCCACUCCAUUUGUCUGGCUAAGAUUUUUUGUUUUUGUUUUUUGAGACAGGGUCUCACUAUGUAACCCAGGCUGGCCUUGAACUCACAGGGAUCCUCCUGUCUUAGCCUCCCAAGAGCUGGCAUUAUAGGCAUGCGCCAUCACCCAUGCUAAGUUUUUUCAGAACUGAAGUAUUGCCAAGUGUGGUGGUACAUUCACUACUCAGGAGGCUGAGGCAGGAGAAUUGCAAGUUCAAGGCAGCUUGGCAAGCUAGUCAGCUUAAUGACUUAAUGAGAGUCUGUCUCAAAAUAAAAAAGUUAAAAAGUGUGAAAACCCUGGGUUCAAUCCAUAGUACCCAAACAAACAGAAUACCAAAUUUAAGGCUGGGUAUGUAAUUCAAUGGCACAGUGUUUGCCUAGCAUGUGUAAAGCCCUGGGUUUCAGCCUCAAUAAGUAAAUAAUAAAUAAAUAAAUCUUUGUUUGUUUUUUUUUUUGUCUUUUUGAGACAGGGUCUUGCUAUGCACCUCAGGCUAGCCUUGAACUCACUUUGUAGCCCAGGCUGGUCUCAAACUCGCAACGAUCCGCCUGCCUUAGCCUCCCAAGUGCUGGGAUUAUAGGCAUACACCACCACGCCUGGCUAAGUAAAUCUUUGCUCUUUAAAUCAAAAUGUAUUUCACCAUACAUUGUCUUUAACCAGUUUUUUCCCAUUUCAUAAUAC
rnacentral:lncRNA from 1 species